UGUGUGUGUUCGAACAGAGGAGAAGAAGAAAGGGGGAAACCCCUCUCAAACCCUAAUCAACGAAUGGGAUGGAUUAUGGCCGAAAUCGAACUUGCAUGAGCCUUAAAAGUGAUUAUCUAAGCAAGCUUUAGCCAAGAAUUGGAACCACACAAGCAUGGACCAAGCAUGGAAGGCAAACGGAUCAGGAUGAGGCAAGGAAGCGAUUACGAGCACUGAUGCGCAAGGUAAGUGACUUCCGAAUCACUUCUUAGUAUACAUAUAGAAUUUUCUUGUUUAUGGAUGUAGGUAAGUUAUUGUAUGAGUAUGAAAUGAAUGAAGGUAUUAAGAUAAGUAUUGAACUAGAUAGUCGAAGGUAGUUUGUGGGACCAAACGGGUCGAAUAAAUAAGAGUAAGUGAGAUAAUGGUAAUAAAAUUGGUAAUGAUUAAGGACCCGGGGUAAGGAUUCUUAGUCUAAUAUGUAAGGAAUUGUUUUACGGAUGUUUAGGAACAAGUUUCAAGUGAAACGGAUGCAAAACGAGCAAGUUAUGCAAAUUUUAGUUUUAAAAUGGAAGACUGAUCCGGGCUUCACCGUAGCUUACGGUGCCCACCGUAAGCUACGGUGGGAGCUGAGGCUUUAUUUCUGCCGUAAGGCAGUAUAAGGCUGCCGUAGGACUUUUGGGGGCCACCGUAAGCUACGGUAGCCACCGUAGCUUACGGUGGAGGUCAGGUGCAAAUGUAAAGUUUGUGGAUUUCUUUGUUUUUCCUUCGAAUUCGGAGCCCGUGGACCCAUUCCAAGCCUUGUUAAGUUUUUAUAAUGUUACUUAACCCUACCAAAUGGCUUGGUAAGUUACGGAUGAGUAUGAAACUCAUUUUUAAGAACCGAAACAUACCCGAUAGAUAUUUUUGAAAGCGUUUAAGAUGUGCGAAUAAAAUCGGGGUAUGCAAGCGAGUAUGCGGGGUAACGAAUUAAGUACGUGGGUAUGUAUGUAUGUAUGUAUGUAUGUAUGUAUGUAUGUAUGUAUGUAUGUAUGUAUGUAUGCAUGCAUGUAUUUAUGAAUAGAUUUCACUAGUGAAUGUAUGUACGUGUAUAGUUAUGUUUCGUUUUAAGUAUGGGUGUAAGUAUGUAGAUAUGUACAUAGGUAGGUAUAUAUGUAGGUAACGGUGUAGGUGCGUAUGCGGGUAGACAUACAUGGGUGUAAGUAUUAUGUAUUUAAGUGUGAAGGUGCAUACGCGUGUAGGUGUGAACGUAUAUAUGCGGGUGCUAGUAUGCAUGUAUAACCGUAUGCCAGAAGGUAAGUACCUAUGCUCAUAUGAUUUCAAUAUGAUUGUGUAUUAAUGCAAAUAACAGUGUACCUUGAGAAUGAAGAAUAAUGCAGGUACAAUGUUGAAGUCUCUCCGAAGAGUGGAUACUCGACGGAAAUGCCUAAGUAUAAAGGAAUAACGGAAUAGAAAGUAAAAGUGUAUAAAUCUUGUUACGUUCAUAUUGUGUACUAAUGUUUGAAAUUGUAUGGUAACUGUAGGUUGUACGAGUCACGGAGGAUCACUGAGGAGUGGAGAUCGAAUACCGAGUCACAAGUUAGAUUGUACGGGAAUACUUGAUUAUGUAAAAUGACAGUUAUAAGUUAUGCUUUUAUUUUGUAAGUAUGUACAAAAGAUACCUAUAUUGUAAGAAGGUAUUUUAUAA